GAAGCUUACCUCAUGGUGGUUUGAGACUUUGUACCCUGUUUGAAGAACUUUAUAGUUCUAAGCUCAUCCAGCGGCUGCAAAUUCUGUGAC